GGAUGCGAUCAUACCAGCACUAAAGCACCGGAUCCCAUCAGAACUCCGAAGUUAAGCGUGCUUGGGCGAGAAUAGUACUGGGAUGGGUGACCUCCUCGGAAGUCCUCGUGUUGCAUUCC
rfam:Sorghum bicolor cultivar BTx623 chromosome 9, whole genome shotgun sequence.